GUUUUGGGGAACUUCUGUGUCUGAAGAUAUCUCUAUUCUACCCAUAAUUUGGCUAGGUAUAGAUGUUUGAAUUAAAAACCAUUUUCCCUCAGAAGUUUGAAGGCAUGGCUCCAUUAUCUCCUACUUUUUAGUAGUGCUCUUGAAAAGUCAGAGCCGUGUUCUUCCUGAUCCUCAGUAAGAGAAGACUAGAAAUAUGAAAAGAAGAUUGAAGACGGUCAUUAAGGUAAAGAGCCAUUGUUCUAGUUGGGAAUGCUUCCAGGUAACCACUGAGGAUACCUUUAAGUGGGGAGGCUGCCAUCUGAUUCCUAAGCUGAAGGCUUCCUGAGCUGCAGAACAUCAGAGUCCCUAUCCAAUGCUGGAGUGGAGUAGCAGUGAAAGAGUAUUUGGAAGAAAACUGAGGACACUCAUAGCCAGAUUUCGACAGCACCAUGGAGGAUCCAGUGGAGAUAUUCUCAGUCAUACCAAGUUCUCCACAUGAAGAACCACUUUGUAAGCACUGUUGGAGAUAGUACUCUAAUAAGAAGAAAAUAAUUCUAGGAGAUGCAGCCAAAGAUAUGGAAGCUAAAGAUGACUAAAUAAAUGUACUAAAGUUUAUUUUGUCCAAAAAAUUAUUGGGGGCCAAAGCAAAAACAAGCAAAAAGCCUCUUAGCGUUCCAGAACUAAAAUUUUAGAUAAUAUCAGCUUGGGGAAGAGAGAUGUAGAGACUAGAGGAAUGUGAAUGUGUAAACAAUAUAGCCUCAAAAUCUACAGAUCAUCAUGAUUAAGUAAGGGUUUUUUUCCCACCAGGAGUAUUGAUGGAUUGUUCAACUUCAGAAGAUAUCAGUGGAAUACAAUAUAUUUGUAGUCUUAAAAAUAAAAAUCAUAUUCAGUUCAAGAGAUACAGGAAAAUUAUUUGAUAAGAGCAGCCAGCAGGUGGUGAAUGGAGGAGUGGUGAGCAGGAAAUGCAUAAGAAAUUCCCCACUUGCGCUUCUCUGAAGGCUGAUGGCCUUCCCGGAGACAGCUGUGCCCUGAGUGGAAGGUGGAAAAUGUUAACUUUAAGGGACAGUAGAGAUUUCUUGUUUUGUUUCAUCUUAGUUUGGGAUUUCUGGAAGCAGAGCCUGAGUGUAGAAUUCAGGGACAAACAAGUUUUUGAGGAAUGCUCUUCAGAAAAAAUCAGUAAGGUUAAGGUUAAGGGCAAGGAAGGCAGAAAAGUGGAGCAAGGAUACGAUUUCAGGUGAAGUCUAGCUUUGGCUUGAUCCUUGAGGGAGAGGUCUGCGGCAUAAGUUGCACAGCACAACUGUCCUCCUGGAGCCAGAGGCUGGCCUCUUGUACGUUUGAAAUCAGUGGUUGAUGUGUAUGUCGUGGUGGUUGGGGGGGGUGUCCUGAUUUCCCAGGUGAGAUGGCAUCAGUCAGCUGAGGUCAAUCCUCCUGAGAGAAUCCUCUGGGAGCCACUAAUAGACAAUUUUUGCAGCAGCUGAGAGAUGGGUAUGCAAGUCCAGUAAAUGGGAUGGGGACAACGUGGGGGCCCUAGCUUCUACCACUCUGAUUCAUACAUUGAACUGGAAAUUCUAGUUUCUGAAUCAAGAUUGUACUUUACAACUUAAAGUGAUUGUGGGAUUUUCUAUAUUUUAAGUGUGCUCAGAAAAGCUGUGAAAUUGCCUGCGUUUCCAUACAAGGGCAGAGGAAGAGGUCCCUCUACUAAAAAGGACAGCAGAAUACAAAAACAAAGUAGCUUUUUAUGAUUAUACUUCAUUAGUCCUGCAUGCUCAAUAUACCAUGUGUGUGUCUACACAUAUAUAAUACAUACAUGCAUAUUGUACGUUUCAUCAUAUUUCAUGUCAUAAAUACAUGUAUCACACAUAUGUACCUAUACAUAUAUGCAAACAUAUAUUUCCUCUAUCUCAUAUUAUAUUCUAUAGCUUAGAAAAAAUGAAUGUUAUAUUCUUAUAAUGAUCUUACAAGUAGCCAUUGUUAACCUCAUUGUUAUACAAACAUUAAAAUCGAUAUGGCUAUUAUUGCUAUAGCAAAAGUAUAGAGGUUACUCAUUUUCUUGUCAGCAUUCUACUUCUUUGAAAUAGAGAAAGUUGAAAAGAGGGCAUUUCUUUUUAUGCCAAAGAUCUGCAAAUACUUUGUCCCUGGGGUGGACUUCCAGCCAAAUGAGGAUCUCCAUAGGAAUGGAAGAAAUCACACGCUCUGCUCCAGGAUCCGCUGUUUGCCAGGUCACAUUGCUUUACUUUGGAUUUCUACCAUCUCAGCGAAGGUCAGUCCAAAGAGCCGAGACCCACCGUGGUGCUGCAGAUCGCUGAGCAUCGCCAGGGAAAUGUGUCCUCUUGUGUCUUUGCCAGAGCCCUAUCUUCUCAAUUCCUACUCAUAACUGGUCUCCUGCCUCCAGUCUCAUCAUCCAGAACCCUUUCAGCCCUUCCUGUAUUUGAAGCCAGGUAAGCUGAUUCCUGUGCAGACCGUUUUCCUUGCAUCUGGUCUGAAUAAUUUUGCAGCCAAUACCUCAGACUGCAAAGCCCAUGUGUGGAAACCAUUUUAUUGGAGACAAUGUGCUUAGUGGAGUGAACACAGAGUUUGGAGUCAGAAAUUCCAACCCCAGCUUUACUUAACGUCCUUGGAGUCAUAGCAGGAUUUCAGAGAAACCCACUGGAGAUCAUCUGGUAUCUACACUGAACCAGCAUUCGGUGCCAAUAGAGGCCCAUUGAGCCCCCCAGGAUCACUGCAUUCUUCAGGUGACCCUGGGUGCACUUGGGCUCGUGUGUCCCGGAUCGGCUGCUGCUGUGGCAUUCUACUGGUGCUGAGGGAGAGGGCUGGAGUAAUGCUCGCAUUUGCCUCAUGCAGCCUCGUUGUUUGAUGUGAAACAUGGUUCUUGGGCUGGCAUUUUGCAGCAGCUACGUCAGUUGGUGGCAUAUUUCUGAUACUCUCUUCACGUCUUGCUGUUAACCAGCAGGAAGAUGACCUGAAACAGUGGGAAUUAGAAAGCUGUCCUUUGCUAGUGACAGAAGAGCCAAAGAUGGACAGGGCUCAGGUGGUCCAAAAGAGCUAUCUUCUUUUUGUUUUGUUUUGUUCUGUUUUCUCUUUUUUUUUGAGUGGUUAUGGCCACGCCUGGCUUCCAAGUUUUCAAAAUCCUAGUAGACACAAGAAAACAUUUCUUUUCAGUUUAUUGUGACACACAUAUAAGUCUUCAAAGCACUGUGUGCAGAAUAGUUUCCAAAUAUAAAGCUUGUGAGCAAGGUAGACAUUGCUGAGGUUCAUCUCCUAUGACCCUUUCUGUAGUGAGUAUGGCUGUGCCCUCAGAGAACAGAGACAUGGAGAAGCAUCUGAUUACAUCCAUUUCUCUCCAGGCUGACUCGACUGCCGCCACAAUACAUGGAUGUUGUGUUGCCACAUGGUGUCUACUUGUUGUGAAAUAGAAAUCUUGCUACACUUAAUCAUGUGCAUCCAGUAUGUUUGCUGGAUGACCCUAGGCCCACUGGAAUAUUUCACAACUCAUUCUAGACUUGUUUGGAAGCCUGGCUUCUCUGUUUCAGUCAAUAAAACCUGCAAGUAACCAUUUGCAAAGAAGAAGUGGAAACAAUCGACGAUGCAGAUGCCUGGACUCAGAAUAUGGUCUUUCUUCUAGUCCUUUCAGUUGCUCCCAAGUGAGAACUUGUACCUGAAUAAUGCAGACCUCCUUUGCAGGCAAUCCAAUAAAUUCAUCUUUGUUUCAGAUUGCUAUUUGGCAGUCAUUGUUUCUCAUUGUGCAGCACGAGAUAAGUGUAAUUGGUCAACUGGAUGGCAGAGACCAGGUUGUGGGUACAGGAAAGGUGUGUGACCUCGUUUCUCAUCAUUAAGGUAAUGGUGCCUACUUCUGUGGAUUGUUGUGAAGUCCAAAUAAGUUAGUCCAAGUAAAGUGCUUGGGAUAGGGCCUGGUACACAGUAAAGUUUAGCUAUUAUUAUUAAUUCUACAAUUUGGGAACAUUAACAUCAUUUUCCCGUGACUGAGAACAAAUCUAAACUGCACUUGACAAAUACACAGACUUCUAGAAACCACCGAAUAUGGCUUGAAUGAUGAGAGACUUUAAACUACAAGUACACUUUCAAGACUUUUAAAAAUGAAAUGAAAGCUAGUAACAGUUAU
rnacentral:lncRNA from 1 species